CUUUUUCUACUGAUAUCAUUUUUCAAUUAUCUUGCUUUCUAAUAUAAGAUACAUCAUAUUUUUAUAUUCAUUCGUUUGAAAAGGUAUGCCCAUCGUGCUCCGUUUAUGCUCAUCAUGCUCCGUUACAUGCUCAUUAUUUCUUUUUAGUUCCAACUCCAAGAAGAAAACGAAACAACACAAACACAAACGAGUAAGCAUAAAACAAUACAAAUAAUAAUAGUUUGUUUUUGCAAACUACAGUUCACGUCGCAAGAACAGAUACUCUGCGUGGUAUCUGCAUCGUUAAAGUUGCAAUAACAUAUCCUCUUUUUGAUUUCUCUUUUGUUUAUCAGAACUGAAGCACACACGAGUAAAAGCUUUUCUGUCAAUAUCUGCUCAUUGUUUAGAUUAUU
rnacentral:lncRNA from 1 species